rnacentral:rRNA from 1 species
CACCGCGGUUAUACGAGCGGCCCAAGUUGAUAACACACCGGCAUAAAAAGUGGCCAAAAUAAUACUACUAGAGCCAAACAUUUUCAGAGCAGUUAUAAGCUUAUGAAGACAGGAAGCCCCAUCACGAAGGUAGCUCUAAUUUACUUUACCACGAAAGCUAGGACA